UGGUGGAGCGAUUUGUCUGGUUAAUUCCGUUAACGAACGAGACCUCGACCUGCUAAAUAGUUUAGUGAAUUGAUUCAAUUCACCUGAACUUCUUAGAGGGACUAGUAGUGGCGUACCUGCUGGAAGAUCGAGGCAAUAACA
rnacentral:rRNA from 1 species